UGUAAGCCGAUGAAGGUGUGUUGAGAAGCAUGCUGGAGGUAUCAGAAGUGCGAAUGCUGACGUGAGUAACGACAAAACGGGUGAAAAACCCGUUCGCCGAAAGACCAAGGGUUCCAGUCCAACGUUAAUCGGGGCUGGGUGAGUCGACCCCUAAGGCGAGGCCGAAAGGCGUAGUCGAUGGGAAAAUGGUUAAUAUUCCAUUACUUCUGUGUAAUGCGAUGAGAGGACGGAGAAGGCUAAAUCAGCCUGGCGUUGGUUGUCCAGGUGAAAGGAUGUAGGCAUGUAUCUUAGGCAAAUCCGGGGUACUCUAUGCUGAGAUCUGAUAGCAAGCUGUACUUGUACAGCGAAGUGGUUGAUGCCAUGCUUCCAGGAAAAGUCUCUAAGCUUCAGUUACACAGGAAUCGUACCCGAAACCGACACAGGUGGUCAGGUCGAGUAGACCAAGGCGCUUGAGAGAACUCUGCUGAAGGAACUAGGCAAAAUGGUACCGUAACUUCGGGAGAAGGUACGCUGUUGUUGGUGAUGGAACUCGCUUCCUGAGCUGACGACAGCCGCAGAAACCAGGCCGCUGCAACUGUUUAUUAAAAACAUAGCACUCUGCAAACACGAAAGUGGACGUAUAGGGUGUGAUGCCUGCCCGGUGCUGGAAGGUUAAUUGAUGGGGUUAGCGUAAGCGAAGCUCUUGAUCGAAGCCCCAGUAAACGGCGGCCGUAACUAUAACGGUCCUAAGGUAGCGAAAUUCCUUGUCGGGUAAGUUCCGACCUGCACGAAUGGCAUAAUGAUGGCGGCGCUGUCUCCAGCAGAGGCUCAGUGAAAUCGAAAUCGCUGUGAAGAUGCAGUGUACCCGCGGCUAGACGGAAAGACCCCGUGAACCUUUACUGCAGCUUGACACUGAACUUUGACCUUACUUGUGUAGGAUAGGUGGGAGGCUUUGAAGCUGGAACGCUAGUUCCAGUGGAGCCGUCCUUGAAAUACCACCCUGGUAAUGUUGAGGUUCUAACUCUGUCCCGUGAUCCGGGACGAGGACCGUGUCUGGUGGGUAGUUUGACUGGGGCGGUCUCCUCCUAAAGAGUAACGGAGGAGUACGAAGGUGCGCUCAGCGUGGUCGGAAAUCACGCGUAGAGUAUAAAGGCAAAAGCGCGCUUAACUGCGAGACCCACAAGUCGAGCAGGUACGAAAGUAGGUCUUAGUGAUCCGGUGGUUCUGUAUGGAAGGGCCAUCGCUCAACGGAUAAAAGGUACUCUGGGGAUAACAGGCUGAUACCGCCCAAGAGUUCAUAUCGACGGCGGUGUUUGGCACCUCGAUGUCGGCUCAUCUCAUCCUGGGGCUGAAGCAGGUCCCAAGGGUAUGGCUGUUCGCCAUUUAAAGAGGUACGCGAGCUGGGUUUAGAACGUCGUGAGACAGUUCGGUCCCUAUCUACCGUGGGCGCUGGAAAUUUGAGAGGAUCUGCUCCUAGUACGAGAGGACCAGAGUGGACGAACCUCUGGUGUACCGGUUGUGACGCCAGUCGCAUCGCCGGGUAGCUAUGUUCGGAAGGGAUAACCGCUGAAAGCAUCUAAGCGGGAAGCCUACCUCAAGAUAAGAUUUCCCUAGGACUUUAUGUCCUCUAAAGAGCCGUUCGAGACUAGGACGUUGAUAGGUUGGAUGUGGAAGCAUAGUGAUAUGUGAAGCUGACCAAUACUAAUUGCUCGUGAGGCUUGACUA
rnacentral:rRNA from 1 species